rnacentral:rRNA from 1 species
CAAUACAGCCAUAGCACCCUGAGAACGCCCCAUCUGGUCUGAUCUGGGAAGCUAAGCAGGGUCGGGCCUGGUCAGUACUUGGAUGGGAGACCGUACAGA